GGACACUCGUAACUGUUGUACCCAACCCUAUACUAAAUAUACACUUUUCUCAGUCCAGUCUCUCUACAAAAUUCACUCUCUAGUAUUUUAGGGUUUCUGAGUUCGAUUCUUGGUUCCUCCGUUUUGGGCGCCUAAGGACUCUGAUAUGGCUGAGGAAGAUAAGAACGGAGCAGCAGAGGGUCUGCCACCUCCUCCCCCUGUUCCACCUGAUUUCACUCCUGCAAAAUCAGAACCCGAGCCGGUGAAGAAAAAGGCGGCUCCACGUCUUCCCAUGGCCAGACGUGGCCUUGGAAACAAGGGACAAAAGAUUCAAAUUCUUACUAAUCACUUUAAAGUGAAUGUGACCAAUGUGGAUGGACACUUCUUUCACUACAGUGUUGCCCUAUUUUAUGAAGAUGGGCGGCCAGUAGAUGGGAAGGGAGUUGGCAGAAAGGUCCUAGAUAGAGUGCAUGAAACAUAUGAUACAGAAUUAGCUGGAAAGGAUUUUGCUUAUGAUGGGGAAAAAAGCUUGUUUACCAUUGGAGCACUCCCUCGAAAUAAAAUGGAGUUCACCGUUGUUCUUGAAGACGUUACAUCAAAUAGGAACAAUGGCAAUAGCAGCCCUGCUGCUGCAGAUGAAGGUCCCAAUGAAAGUGACAGGAAAAGGUUACGACGUCCUUACCAAUCAAAAUCUUUUAAGGUGGAGAUAAGCUUUGCUGCGAAAAUUCCAAUGCAGGCAAUUGCAAAUGCUUUGCGGGGUCAAGAGUCGGAGAACUCUCAAGAAGCCUUGAGGGUGUUGGAUAUAAUUUUAAGGCAGCAUGCUGCUAAGCAGGGCUGUCUGCUUGUUCGUCAGUCCUUUUUCCACAAUGAUCCGAAGAACUUUGUUGAUGUUGGCGGUGGUGUUCUUGGUUGUCGAGGAUUCCAUUCUAGCUUUAGGACCACUCAGAGUGGCUUGUCUUUGAACAUCGAUGUGUCUACCACAAUGAUUAUCCAGCCUGGGCCUGUAGUGGAUUUUUUGAUAGCAAAUCAAAAUGCAAAAGAUCCCUUUACGCUGGAUUGGGCAAAGGCAAAACGUAUGCUCAAGAAUUUGAGGGUGAAGACUAGUCCAACUAAUCAAGAGUACAAGAUUACUGGACUGAGUGAGAGAUCCUGUAGGGAGCAAACGUUUACCCUGAAGCAGAAAGGUAAAGAUGGGGAAGGUGAUGAAAUUACUGUUUAUGAUUACUUUGUCAAUCACCGAAACAUAGACUUGCGCUAUUCUGCGGAUUUGCCUUGCAUCAAUGUUGGGAAACCCAAACGUCCCACCUAUUUCCCUAUCGAGCUCUGCAAUUUGGUGUCAUUGCAAAGGUAUACAAAAUCUCUGUCCACAUUCCAGAGAUCUUCAUUAGUGGAGAAAUCUAGGCAAAAGCCUCAGGAGAGGAUGCAAGUCCUAAGCAAUGCCCUCAAAAUCAACAAAUAUGAUGCCGAGCCUCUGCUUCGUGCCUGUGGAAUUUCAAUCAGCAGUAACUUCACCCAGGUUGAAGGGCGUGUUCUUCCUCCCCCAAAGUUGAAGACAGGUGGUGAUGACUUUGUUCCACGUAAUGGCAGGUGGAAUUUCAAUAACAAGAGACUGGUUGAUCCGACAAAGAUAGAGCGCUGGGCUGUUGUCAACUUUUCUGCACGUUGUAACAUACAAGGGCUAAUCAGUGAUCUUAUAAAAUGUGGAAAAAUGAAAGGAAUUAUGGUGGAAGAUCCAUUUGAUGUUUUUGAAGAGUCUCCACAAUUCAGAAGGGCUCCCCCGCUUGUCAGAGUGGAAAAAAUGUUUGAAGAAGUCCAGUCAAAACUUCCCGGGGCACCGAAAUUUCUGCUUUGUUUGCUUCCUGAGAGGAAAAACUGUGACAUUUAUGGACCAUGGAAGCGGAAGAAUUUGGCUGAAUUCGGCAUUGUUACCCAAUGCAUAGCUCCAACGAGAGUCAAUGACCAGUAUAUCACCAAUGUGCUUCUGAAGAUAAAUGCAAAGCUUGGUGGUUUGAAUUCUAUGUUAACUGUUGAACAUGCUCCCGCAAUCCCUAUGGUAUCUAAGGUUCCCACCAUAAUUCUUGGGAUGGAUGUGUCACAUGGUUCUCCUGGCCAAUCUGAUGUGCCAUCCAUUGCUGCGGUAUGAUCUCUGUCAAUUUUCAUUGAAUCAUAUUUUUAUUUCCUUUUUAACCAACCGGCAGUGCUCAGUUUGGAAUUAUCUACUCUGUUGUAGCAUCUCCCAGAAAUAAUUAUUCUACAAAAUUGCAGGGAAGCUUUGCUAGACUUUUAUGUGAGUUCUGGAAAAAGGAAGCCUGAGCAUAUUAUUAUAUUCAGGGAUGGUGUCAGUGAAUCUCAAUUUAAUCAAGUUCUGAACAUUGAACUGGAUCAGAUCAUUGAGGCGUGUAAAUUUCUCGACGAGAAGUGGUCACCCAAGUUUACUGUGAUAAUUGCACAGAAGAAUCAUCAUACCAAGUUUUUCCAGCCUGGAGAUCCUAACAAUGUUCCUCCAGGCACGAUUAUCGACAAUAAAGUUUGUCACCCAAGAAAUUAUGAUUUCUACUUGUGCGCCCAUGCUGGAAUGAUUGGUACCACUCGUCCUACACACUACCAUGUCUUGUAUGAUGAAAUUGGUUUCUCGCCUGAUGAUCUUCAAGAGCUUGUUCAUAAUCUAUCUUAUGUCUACCAAAGGAGCACAACUGCAAUAUCUGUUGUUGCUCCCAUCUGUUACGCUCAUCUGGCUGCCACUCAGAUGGGACAGUGGAUGAAGUUUGAGGAUACAUCAGAGACGUCCUCAAGCCGCGGGGGAGUUACAAAUGCUGGUCCAGUUACCGUUCCCCAGCUCCCAAAGCUCGAGGAAAAAGUUUCCAGUUCCAUGUUCUUUUGUUGAGGCUUUGUACUAGCCUCCUGCUUGCUUUUAACAUCUGUGGUUAAUGGAUGUUUGGUUGUUUGUGAAUAGUUUCGGUUUAAAACUCCAAGUGGUAGUCGAACAAUUUAGGUGAUAUUACUCUGCCGUGUUUUGGUCUUUUGUCUGGGACCAUGUUGAAAUCCCCAUGACAUCUUUUGGCUUUAGGGUACCUGCUACUUAAGCUAUUUUGGAUGAUGCACCUCUGUUUGUUUGGGGGUUUAGCUGGCAAUGACCAUGUUUGGACAUAGUUUGUGUUUAUGAUAAUUUCUCGGAUCUUGGUAAGCUGAAGAUUAUGCACUUGUUUCUUUA